UACGAAGGGGGCUAGCGUUGCUCGGAAUUACUGGGCGUAAAGCGCACGUAGGCGGAUUGUUAAGUCGGGGGUGAAAUCCUGGAGCUCAACUCCAGAACUGCCUUCGAUACUGGAAAGCUCGAGUCCGGGAGAAGUGAGUGGAACUGCGAGUGUAGAGGUGAAAUUCGUAGAUAUUCGCAAGAACACCAGUGGCGAAGGCGGCUCACUGGCCCGGUACUGACGCUGAGGUGCGAAAGCGUGGGGAGCAAACAGG
rnacentral:rRNA from 1 species